rnacentral:rRNA from 1 species
GGCGGAUGCUUACACAGGCAAGUCGACCGCAGCACGACUUCGUCUGGUGGCGAGUGGCGAACGGUGAGUAAUAUAUCGGAACGUAUCCAAUAAUGGGGGAUAACUAAUCGAAAGGUUGGCUAAUACCGCAUACGCCCUCAGGGGGAAGGCUAGGGACCUUCGGGCCUGGCGUUAAUGGAGCGGCCGAUAUCUGAUUAGCUAGUUGGUGGGGUAAAGGCCCACCAAGGCUUCGAUCAGUAGCUGGUCUGAGAGGACGACCAGCCACACUGGAACUGAGACACGGUCCAGACUCCUACGGGAGGCAGCAGUGGGGAAUUUUGGACAAUGGGCGAAAGCCUGAUCCAGCCAUUCCGCGUGAGUGAAGAAGGCCUUCGGGUUGUAAAGCUCUUUCGCAAGGGAAGAAAGAUUAUCCUCUAACAUAGGAUGAUUAUGACGGUACCU